rnacentral:lncRNA from 1 species
UGUCUUGAGCAGAAGGAUGUGGCUUCAGUAGUUGAGGGGUGGCUUCAAGUGCUAGUAUGAAGCAUCGGGGAACACUGGUGUUGGUCUAUGCAGAUUUCCUGGGUUUCCAUGAGAAAGAAGUCAUUUGGGCUCUGCCCACAAGUUGCAGGGGUGUGCCUGGAAGAGUUGGGAGUUUAAGGGAGCCUUUUGAAAAGCACAGUACUUUUGACAUCAGGGAGGAUCUCUGUGGGGCUGACUCUGUGUGCUCAUGGGUUUCUGGGACCAAUGAAAGAAACUGGAGCCUAGAACAAAUGGCUCUGCUAUUAUCCAGUGACACUGUGUCCGACCACACCAGUAGGUGUGUGCAGAGCCUGCAGCCAGGGAUAGUUCUGCACUGAUAACGAGCCUUUCUUUUGCUAUCUAGACUGCUGCAGCCUUCUGAUCAGAAUGCUAUGAACAAUUAGUAAUUAAUAAUCAUUAGCUACCAGUAUUUGAAGAUCAUGUUUCUCUUUUAAACCAGUCAUGAUUGAACAGGUUGAUUUUUUUUUUUUUGGCAACAUGACGCAGGUUAGGUAUCUGAGGAAAGGGGGAUCUCUUUUGAAGACUUGCCCUCGGUAGGUUUUCUAUGAGCAGAUCUGUAGGGCAUUUUCUUUAUGACUGACUGAUGUGGAGGACCCAGGCCCACCUCUAGGGAGGGAGCCCCAAGCUGUAUAAAAGCUAUGUAAAGGAACAAGCAAGCGUCACAGAACAAGCCAGGAAGCCAUACUACUCCACACCUCUGCUUCAGUUCCUGCUUCCAAUUUCCUGCCUGGAGUUCCCACCUUGGCUUCCCAGGAUGAUGGAGUAUGAUGGAAAUGUGCCAGGCAAAUGGACUCUUUUCUCCCCAGGUUGCUUUUAAUCAGGACUUUUUAAUCACAGCAAUAGAAAGCAAACUAUAGCAAUGUCCGUUAAGGGACUCACCAAUAAUCCCAAGGGCCAGAGUAUGGGAAAGAGGCGGGGCCAUAGUUCUUUGAAUGUCUGCUCUUUCACUGGAUCUCCCAAAAGACAGGGCACUCUGAUCAGUUCAGGGACUCCAACCAAAGAAGAGGCUGGCCUCUUGCUAAAGGCAUACCAUCAGGUUCAUUCAUUCUUUUCAGUAACAAGUCGUGUGGCCACACAGAAAAUGGCUGGCUGUUUUGGUGAACAGCCACCAUUUUCAAGAAGCUUGGGAAGUUGAGAGAGAGAUCAGAACUUUGUGGUGACUUUUCUAAAGCCUUCCAGAGAUGGGUCAGAACUACUGAAACCCUUCUUCCUCUGCAGCUGUGUGACGUCCUCUCAUUUCUUAGUGUGUGUGUGUGUGUGUGUGUGUGUGUGUGUGUGUGUGUGUGUGUUGCAUGCACAUGAGUGAGUGCAUACAUGCCUGCAUGCAUCCGUGCACGCACUCUUGUGCAAAUAUGACAUGUGUGCGUGUGUAAAGUUCAGAGGACAAUUUUUUGGGAUUGAACUCAGGACACCAGGGUUGCUGGCAAGUGGUAGCCUUCCCUGCUGAGCCAUCUCCCUGGCCCCUACAUUAUUCUUUGAAGCACGGUCUUUUCAUCCAUCUGGUUCAGCUGGCUAGCCAGCCAACUCCAAGGAUCUGUCUCUGACCCACAGUGCUGUGGUGAAUAGCACACUGCCGCUACUACUGGGUUUUACAUGGUGCUGGGUUUCAAACUCAGGUCCUGACACUUGCUGAGCCAUCUCCCCAGCUGCUUCCCUGUGGGAAGAAUAGUAUUCUUACCCUUCUAAUACAGGGAGUACUGUUUCCCAACCCCUCCCUUUUGCUUUGCUUCCCUGGACAAUGAUGGAGGAGUGAGGGCUCUACAUCGCGUUAUCUACCGCUGAUGUAUUUUUUUAUGCAGUGCGGUUCGUGGUUCCAGUAAAUGUUUUUGUUUUACUAC